UAAUCGCGGAUCAGAAUGCCGCGGUGAAUACGUUCCCGGGUCUUGUACACACCGCCCGUCACACCAUGGGAGUCGGAAAUGCCCGAAGUCUGUGACCCAACCUUAGGGAGGGAGCAGCCGAAGGCAGGUCGGAUGACUGGGGUGAAGUCGUAACAAGGUAAC
rnacentral:rRNA from 1 species